rnacentral:lncRNA from 1 species
CCAUCCCUACCUCAACCGUACUUUUCAGUUAGUUUUAAAAUAUUUUUUCUUUUUCACUGAACUUUUUUAUUUAUCAAACAAAUACCAAAUUUUACAAGGUCCAAAGGAGGACAAAACAUAAAAGCUAAAUGGCCCAAACAGCCCAAAAAAUACAACAAAGGUCUAGACGAGGCCAACUAAAGCCGAAACAAGAGGGCAACAAGAACAGCACAUAUGAGACCAUAGGAACGACCAAAACAAAAGGCCCAUUUGUUAAAGUCCCACGGCUUAAACGGUGAUGGCUGAGUCAACAAGAAAACCGAGACACGUGUCUAGAAAAUACAGCUCUCACCGAUUCAACGCCGAGAGAGAAUCUUCGCCGGAGAUCCGAUCCACCAGAAGACCAAAGCUUCAACAGGUCGAAGGGAUAACAGCUCAACCGAGCAUCCGUCGCAAAGAAAACCCAAGGCGAUUGAGAUGAACAACAUAUCUUCACUUCCAGAACAGAGAAGAAACGCAUUCAAUCGAUCUUUGAACACCAGAUUAUCCUGGACAAGCAACUCAUACAUCUUUAAAGAUACAAAUAAGCUUGAAGAUGCGAAAACCCUAACCAAUGGGAGGAUAAAACAAUCUGGUGUUUAGAUCGAGAUUCAUUCGAAUCCCAUAAUAAGCACAGAGAAGCGAAGAAGACAAGAUAAAACAAAAAUUCC